UACGAGGGGGGCAAAUGUUGUUCGGAAUCACUGGGCGUAAAGGGAGCGUAGGCGGGCUUCUAAGUUAGAUGUUUAAUCCCGGGGCCCAACCCCGGACAGGCACCUAAAACUGGAAGUCUUGAAUAGUGGAGAGGACGGCGGAAUUGGGGGUGUAGCGGUGGAAUGGCGUAGAGAUCCCCAAGAACACCAGUUGCGAAGGCGGCCGUCUGGACACAUAUUGACGCUGAGGCUCGAAAGCAUGGGGGAGCAACGGG
rnacentral:rRNA from 1 species